AUGCCAGCAGAAACUUGAAAAUUGGUAUUGUACCAAUAUUCUGCCCAAUGCAAACCCUCCAACCACUUCCUAGGUGUGGGUCCAACAUAACACCUCAAAUAGGUUUCAAGACAUCUAUUCAGCACCUCUGUUUGACCAUCAGUUUGAGGAUGGUAAGAGGUGCUCAUCUUCAGGAGAGUGCCAGAUAGUCUGAAUAAUUCUCUCCAAAAAUUACUUAAGAAAAAAGGGUCUCUAUCAGAAAUUAUGGUAGCUGGAAAACCAUGCAGUUUAACCACUUCAUGGAUGAAAAGCAUAGCCACAUCUUUGGCAGAAUAGGGGUGCCCCAAAGAAAGGAAAUGAGCAUACUUAGUCAACCUGUCCACCACUACUAGCACUGUGUCUUUCCCUUUAACUCUAGGUAACCCUCCCACAAAAUCCAUAGAAAUGUCCUGCCAUACUUGGGAAGGAAUGGGGAGAGGUUGUAACAAACCAGCUGGGGACAAAGCUUGGUACUUGCUUCUUUGACAAAUUUCACAAGCAGCCACAAACUUCUGAAUAUCACUUCUCAUGCCAGGCCAAAAUAAGAAACUAGCAAUAUCCUUUUAUAAGUCCUAAAGAUACCAGAAUGUCCCCCAGAUACUGUGGCAUGACAUUCAGCUAUGAUGACUGGGAUCCUAUUGGACUGAGGAGAAAGGACUAACCUGCCCUUAUAUCUCAAGAUGCCUUGUUUCAGCUCAUAACCAGGAUGUGAAGAGGAAUUGAGCAAUAGAUCCUGCUUAAUCUUCUGUAAAGUGGGAUCUCUAUCAGCUUCUUGAGCCCAUUCCUCAGCCUCAUCUGUUUGGACCAUAGAAAUAGAAGAAUACAUGUCCCUUCUAGAUAAAGCAUCAGCCACUUUAUUGUCAACUCCUGGCUUAUAUUGGAUCUCAAAAUCCAGCCCUAUGAGCUUAACUGCCCACUUAAAUUGCUCUUCAUUAUAUAAUCUCUGGUCUUGCAAAAACUUGAGGCUUCUUUGAUCAGUCUUUAUGAUGAAAUGUCUGCCCAAAAGGUAGUGCUUCCAUCUCUGGACAGCUUGAACUAGGGCCAUCAAUUCCCUCUCAUACACAGAUUUAAGUUGAGAUCUAGGAAAAAGGCCCUUACUCCAAUAUGCCAAAGGCUUUCCCUCUUGCAUGAGGACUGCCCCAAUCCCCUUACUGGAUGCAUCAGCUUCAACUACAAAGGUUUUAUCAAAAUUUGGGACUGCCAAUAAUGGUAAUUGAACCAUAGCCUGCUUGAGAGCUUGAAAAGAAGCUGUAGCUUCUGCUGACCAUACAAAUGCAUCUUUUUUGGUCAAAUCUGUUAAGGGUUUAGCCAUUUUUCCAUAAUCUUUGACAAAUCUCCUGUAGUAGCCUGUCAACCCUAGGAAACCCCUCAAUCCCUUGAUUUCUGUAGGGAUUGGCCAGAGUUGCAUUGCCUCUACUUUCUUCUCAUCAGCCGCUACCCCCUGUCCUGAAAUAAUGUGCCCUAAAUACUCUAGACUGGUCUAGCCAAAAGUACAUUUCUUUUUGUUUGCCUUAAGAGAAUGGAGCUGAAGUGUAGCCAACACUUGCUUGAGAUGAGAUAUAUGAGCUUCUUGGUCCUUACUAUAGACCAAAAUGUCAUCAAAGAAGACUAGAACAAACCGCCUCAAAAAUGGCUUGAGAAUGUCAUUCAUCAAGGCUUGGAAAGUGGAAGGAGCAUUGGUGAGCCCAAACGGCAUGACCAAGAACUCAUAAUGGCCCUCAUGAGUUCUAAAAGCUGUCUUAGCCACAUCCUCAUCCCUCAUUUUGAUUUGGUGAUAAUCAGAUUUAAGGUCCAGUUUAGAGAAAAUAGUAGCUCCCCCUAUUUCAUCCAAAAGUUCUUCAAUAACAGGUAUAGGAAAUUUGUUGGGGAUAGUCACCUUAUUCAAAGCUCUAUAAUCCACACAAAAUCUCCAUCCUCCAUCUUUCUUUUUAACCAAAAUGAUAGGACUAGCAAAAGGGCUUAUGCUAGGCCUAAUAAUUCCUGAAUGUAACAUCUCCUGAACCAUCUUUUCCACCUCAGAUUUCUAGAAAUGUGGAAUUUUGUAAGGUCUUAGAUUAGGAAUAUCAGCUCCUACAUACAAAUGUAUGGCAUGAUCAUGCUUCCUUGAAGGUGGUAAUCCCUGAAUGUCCUGGAAUACUUCAUCAAAUUCUCCCAAAGUUGCACUCAAUUCUGGACAAAUUUCCUCUUCCUUCCUAGCUGGACUUGGUUCAGCUGUCAACUGCAGUAGCCAACCCUCUCCUUCUGCCUUCAGUAAAUUCAUGAAGGACCUAACACUAAUUUGACUUUUAGUGAGAGCAGGAUCUCCAGUAAUUAACUUCCAUUCAUCUCCCUGUUUAAUAGACAAUUUCAGCUUUCCAAAGUCAGCUUUUACUUCUCCUAAGCUGGCCAACCAUUCAAGGCCUAGCACCAAAUCAAUGCCUUGUAACCCAAACAAGUAAUAUUCCUGCUGGAACUGAAUCCCUUGAAUGUCCACCAUCAACCCCUCACACUUUCCUUGACAUCUUACCUUGUAUCCAUCCCCCACUUCCACAGUAUAACUUGUUGUAGGGGUAAUGUGCAGUUGCAGGGAGGCCACUAAUUCAUGUGAAACAAAAUUGUGGGAAGCUCCACAAUCUAUGAGGAUUACUACUUCCUGGCCAUUGAUGAAUCCCCUCACCUUCCAAGACUUUGCAGAAGUAAAACCAGCUAUGGAAUGAAGUGAUAAUUGCAAGGAUUUCAUACUUUUGUCUUCUUCUCCAGGAACUGCCAAUUCUUCUUCUUCUUCUUCCUCCAUAAUCACCAUUCUUAGAUGCUUAUUCUUGCAUCUAUGUUCCUACUGAAAGGCUCAUCACACCUGAAACAUAGCCUUUUCCCUUUUUUCUUUCAUUUCUGCACUAGACAAUUGCCUAUAAUCUCCACUUCUCAAAGCAGGAGCUACAUUAGCAGUAUUAGCACUACUACCAGAACCAGUUUCUGUUUUCUUAUCUUCCAAUGACUUUGAUUCCACAGUCACAACCUUAUUAAAAGGAUUAUUCCUAUAAUAUCCACUCCCUCUAUUGCUAGGAUUGGGAGUAGCUUUUUGUAAAACCAGAUUCUUCUGUUCUAUCAUUAAAGCUUUUUGAAUUACUGAAGUUAAAGUAGUCAAUUCAUAAAGUUUUACCUCUACACGAAUCUCCUCCUUCAAGCCAUUCAAGAAGAUUCCCUUGGCAAAAUCUUGAUCUAUCUCUCUUAGAGCCCCUACAUAUUUCUCAAAUUCCUCCACAAAGACUUCUACAGUAUCAGUUUGUUUCAAAGACAGUAGUAACUCAAAAGGAUUUUGCAUCAUGGCAGGUUGAAACCUCCUCACUACAGCCACUUUGAAUGCUUCCCACGAAGGCAUAGGAUUGCACCUUUCCCACCACUGAAACCAACUCAGUGUUUUCCCUUCCAGAGCAAGCAAGGUUGUUUGCAUCUUUUCUUCUUCAGUAACUUUCCUCAAUUCGAAGUAUCUCUCCAAUUUUUGUACCCAGCCAAACGCAUCAUCACCGCCAAACACUGGAAUUUCCAGCUUCCUCCAUUUGAUCCCUGUUCUGUCACGAUCCAAAUUGGACUCCAAGACAGUUUUAGAUCGCACAUCACGCGUCCCUACCUCAUCUAGGGUUGCGAUUCCAAACCUAGUGAGCACUGCGUGAAGUGUAUCCUCAAUCCUCCUAGCUCAAACUGCAGUCUCUGCAAUUGCGUCUUCAACCUGCUUGGUCCUAGCUUCGUUCACCUCCACGCGAACCCGAAGCUCCUCACUCUCUGAGUUGCCUUCGCCAUCACCCAUAGCAGAAGCGCGAGUCAUCACCAUAGUCGAUUCCUCCACAGAACGCGAUUUCACAGUAGAAUUUCUUCAGCGGAAACGAAAUCAGGGCACCAGAAUCGGUGCUCUGAUACCAGUGUUAGAACUGGUAGAUCUAGGUUAACAGUAAUUGGGGGAAAAUCAAGAUCAGAGAAGGAAAAUGCAAUUGAGAUCAGAGAAGAUUUGGAUUUCUUGAAGAACAAGCUUGGAUACAGUUUGGAAGAGAAACCACUUUCUCUCUCUAGCUAACUGAAUUCCUCAAUUCAGUUCAAGACUAAACUGUUUCCAAAAACUCCCUUCUCACUAACAGUAAAGCUAUUUAUAUCCUAGUUUGCUAUAUUACAAACUAGUCCUUUAAGAAAGUAUUUAUUCUAAGUCAGUCCUAAACAUGGACUAACUAAUCCUCAUUUUGUCUCCUAACAUAGACUUGCGAGACAAUAGGUCUACCCUUGAUCCUAACAGAAUAUAACGAUUCUUCAAGCACCAGAAUAAGAGCUCACAACCCAAGCAAAAUGCUCUCUGCAAAUGCCUCCACAACGCAAGACCUAGCCUUCUCUCGCUGCAUUGCUCCUUCCGGCACCCGUCUCUAUCCGCCAAGGCUCACCAGAGUUUCACUCUCCGUCACUCGAGCUGCCACAUUGAGGUGCUCUGCACUUCCACGCUUAGCUCACGAUGACCAGGAGGCUCCUAGCUUUCUCUUUGAAUCUGCAGAGCCAAAUUUUCAGUCCACGAAUGUGGGUCGCUAUAGUGUUGUAGGAGCACAACCAACAGUGGAAGUUGUGGCAAAAGAAAAUAAAGUAACAAUAAUGGGCCAUGAAUCUGGGCAUUUAACUGAGGAAACUGUAGAUGAUCCUAUGACAGUUCCCAGAAGAAUCUCAGAGGGUUGGAAACCUUAUCUCACUGAUGAACUUCCAGAUGCAUUCAGUGUGAGGUUAAUGGCGGAUGGUGGAUUAUGGCGAAAAGCCAUAAACAGGUCACAUUUGAGUUUGACAAAUAGUGGUGGCGUUGACGGGUUUUGGCAGCAUAUGGCGGAAUAUUGGCCAAGCAACUUCCUGCUAUGCUUUGUGAAAAAAACCUUGACAUGAGACACGUAUCAGAGAAAUUAUAUGAUAAUCAAUCAUGUUGGAGCCAUCCGUGCUGAGCAUGAUGAUUUCACAAUUCGUUUUGCUUCAGCGAUGAAUCAGGUGAUGCCCUCUGCUUUGUUUGGGUUGUAAAAGAAAAGCCCUCCCUCAAAUAAAAUUUUCCCUGUUUCUGUCAACUGUUCCUUAGCAUGUAAACUUUAAAGCCUACAUGUUUGUUCAUAAUCUCUAGUUUUGCAGCUGUUAUUGUUGAAGUCCACCGAUGGUUCUGAUGUUGAUUGGAGCAAAGAAGUCAAGGGUAACUUUUGUUUGUGUACUUCUUUUAUAUUGCUGUCCUUUUGUCCUUCAUCUGAUCUUAGUCCUUUGUUUUAAUAUGUUAUAGUCACCCCUUCGUACUCAAUUCUACAUGAAGGAUGCAGCACAAUUUUAUUUUGUUUUCUUCGUCUAAUGUUUGAACCUGUUUAUUUUCUUUUUACCUAUCACAAAUUUAUUAGUUUAUUUCAAUUAUCUAUGUAUUGAACUUUGAUGCAUUAGCUAGACAUCAUUCCUUGUACCAGUAGUUUAAAGUGUAGCAAUUUUUUGAUUUAUAGGGACUCAAAACUGUUGUACCUUUCUUCUGAGUACCCCUUGGUUACAAGUUAAUCAAAAUAUAUGGGAUAUCUUGAUUGGGACUGGGAACUUCUGUACUUAUUAUUUAUAGUAAAUUUAAUCAUGUUUUUUUUAAGAGAAGACUUUAUUGAUAUAAGGAAGUCAUGAGGAAACCUUCUCAUGAUAUCAAAAGUACAAAACGAAACACCCACCAAGUAAUCAACCUCACUUAAGAAACUGUGCCUCAUUAAAACCUCCCUAAGGAAAACCCAGUGGGAAAAAGCAUUAGGAAGGGAAAAAAAGUACACAGAUCAAGAGUUAAUCAAGUAAAAACAUACAGCUCCGUACCCAUUGAAAUAUAUGUAUUCUUUCCCUUGCCAUACAAUAGUGUCAUAUCUACCAUACUUUGUAACCCAGCAUGCCUCAAGUCACAUGAGAUCGCUCCUUCAUGCAUCCGCUAGCUUCUUUCCUUAACCUAUGUUCCAUCAAUUCCAGAUCACUCAAACAUUUUUCUACAUUUAUUCUCCAUGCAUCAAAUCUGAUCUGUCCUCCAACCUGAGCAGUCCACCAAAUCAACAAAAAAACAUACCCCCACCAUAGGUAACUUGAGUGAAACCCGCCAAUGCACAACAAACCAACAAUCAGAAUACAAUCUUAAACAAACAGUCACAAGAAAUUAGCUUGACUCCUCCUGCAAUAAAUUCAUGCAGUAGCACCUGAGUCAUUGAUGUUGUUACUUCUAUCAGGGAUGGAUCUUAUUCAAUAUUAGGUGACAGAUGGUGAGGGAGAACAUGCUGCCCAUGUUGCUGGAUAUGGAGAAAGUAUCAAUGAUAGUGCUCCUAAAAAUUGUGAAAAGAAAACUGAAAGUGUCUGGGAGUGAGCUUUAUGAAGAUGCAGAUAGCAAGUUAUGAAAGGUUGAAACACACGUGGUGGAGAAGCUAGAAAUCAGUCGUCAUGACUUGGCCAAUGCUGAUGAUGGAAUGUUAGGUGAAAUUAAUCGCUUGAAGGCAAUUAAGAUAACUGAUGGGGGGGUCCAACUGCGAGAGUCAUUUUUUACCAAUUGCUGGGUUCAAGGCCUAGGAAAAUCUUGAACCUAAGUUUAAACCUGUUGGCUUUAAGAGGUUCAUUACUUGAUGGUGGAUAUGGCUUAGCUGGGUAUUAUGUGUUAGCAUUAUGUAGGUCCCUUUUUUUGUAUAUCUAUGGGGCCACUGAACUAAGUAUUGUAUUUAAUUAAGUGUGAUGCUGGAUGUCCUAAUUGAUUACGUUAAAAAUACUACCAUUUUUUUAAAACAUUCAAAAUUUGAU